rnacentral:rRNA from 1 species
CCUACGGGUGGCAGCAGUGAGGAAUAUUGGUCAAUGGACGAGAGUCUGAACCAGCCAAGUCGCGUGAAGGAGGACUGCCCUGUGGGUUGUAAACUUCUUUUGUAAGGGAAUAAACCCUGGCACGUGUCCCUUUUUGCGUGUACUUUAUGAAUAAGCAUCGGCUAACUCCGUGCCAGCAGCCGCGGUAAUACGGAGGAUCCGAGCGUUAUCCGGAUUUAUUGGGUUUAAAGGGAGCGUAGGUGGGUUGUUAAGUCAGGUGGGAAAGUCUGCGGCUCAACCGUAGAAUUGCAUUUGAUACUGGCAGUCUGGAGUAGAGUUGAGGUAGGCGGAAUUCGUGGUGUAGCGGUGAAAUGCUUAGAUAUCACGAAGAACUCCGAUUGCGAAGGCAGCUUACCA